rnacentral:lncRNA from 10 species
UGAAGAUUGAUUAAACUUGUAAGACAUUAUUUAUUUUCAUGUUUCUAACAGAUCUCAACAGAAACUUUCAAAAAAUUGUGUAUAUUUUUACGUCACAAACAUAUAAAGAUACCUAAAGCUGGAUAUUCUUAAUCAACUUUAUUGAAUUACAACUUACAAUAAAAGGAUCAUGUUUUAAACAUGUUAUUAGUUGAGUUUGAAAAACAUGUAUUCUGAAUUCUUUCUCCAGCAUGACCAAGGACCAGGGUAUAUACACCAGACAACAGAGCCGUUUCAUUUUGGGGGCUCGUUUGGGAUCAGAAUCAGAAUGGAAGGUAGAAACAUCAGAGUGGCUAUACGAUGUCCGGAAGUGGUGGGUUCUUGGUCUCACUGACUUCAAAAAUGAAGACGAAGACGUGGACUCUGGCGGUGAGUGUUACAGUUCUUAAAGGCGGUGUGUCCGGAGUUCAUUCCUUAUAAUGUUGGGAGUUUCUUCCUUAUGGUGGGUUUGUGGUCUCGCUGGCUCCGGAGUGAAGCUGCAGACCUUCGCGGUGAGUGUUACAGCUCUUAAGGCGGCACGUCUGGAGUUGCUGGAUCCUCCCGGUGCGUUUGUGGUCUCGCUGACUUCAGGACUGAAGCUGCAAACCUUUGCCGUGAGUGUUACAGCUUAUAAAAGCAAUGUGGACCCACAGAGAGAACAGCAGCAAGAUUUAUUGGAAAGAGAUAAAGAAUAAGGCUUCCACACUGUGGGAGGGGACCGGAGGGGGUUGCCACUGCUGGCUCCGGCAGCCUGCUUUUAUUCUCUUAUCUGGCCCCACCCACAUCCUGCUGAUUGGUAGAGCCCAGUGGUCUGUUUUGACAGGGUGCUGAUUGGUGCAUUUACAAUCCCUGAGCUAGACACAAAGGUUCUCCAAGUCCCCACCAGAUUAGCUAGAUACAGAGUGUCCAUUGGUGCAUUCACAAACCCUGACCUAGACACAGGGUGCUGAAUGGUGUGUUUACAAACCUUAAGCUAGAUACAGAGUGCCGAUUGGUGUUUUUACAAUCCCUUAGCUAGACAUAAAGGUUCUCCACGUCCCCACCAGACUCAGGAGCCCAGCUGGCUUCACCCAGUGGAUCCCGCCCAGGGGCUGCAGGUGGAGCUGCCUGCCAGUCCCGCGCCGUGUGCCUGCACUCCUUAGCCCUUGGGUGGUGGAUGGGACUGGGCGCCGUGGAGCAAGAGGCGGCGCUCAUCCCGGAGGCUCCGGCGGCACAGGAGCCCACGGAGAGGAGGAGGCUCAGGCAUGGCGGGCUGCAGGUCCCAAGCCCUGCCCCGCGGGAAGGCAGCUAAGGGCUGGCGAGAAAUUGAGCACAGCAGCUGCUGGCCCAGGUGCUAAGCCCCUCAGUGCCUGGGGCCGGUGGGGCCGGCUGGCCGCUCAGAGUGCGGGGUCCGCCCAGCCCACGCCCACCUGGAACUUGCGCUGGCCCGCAAGCACCGCGUGCAGACCCAGUUCCCUCCCGCGCCUCUCCCUCCACACCUCCCAGCAAGCUGAGGGAGCCGGCUCCGGCCUUGGCCAGC